GCCUUCGUGGUGUAGUGGUCAGCACGUUCGGCGCGUAUUCGAGAGGUCCGUGGUUCAAAUCCCGAUGAGGGCA
rfam:Stegodyphus mimosarum contig51619, whole genome shotgun sequence.